rnacentral:siRNA from 1 species
AAGGACAACUCGUGGAGCCAACCA